rnacentral:tRNA from 1 species
CCAAAGGAUAAUAGUAUUCCACUGGU